rnacentral:rRNA from 1 species
GACGAACGCUGGCGGCGUGCCUAAUACAUGCAAGUCGAACGCAGUGGGGACGGGUGCGUAACACGUGGGUAACCUCCCAUCAGAGGGGAUAACACUUGGCAACAGGUGCUAAACAGAUACUGCUGGAUGGACCCGCGGUGAAUACGCCAGUUGGUGAGGUAACGGCGCACCAAGGCCACGAUGCAUAGCCGACCUGAUAGGGUGAGCGGCCACACUGUGACUGAGACAUGGCCCAGACUCCUACGUGAGGCAGACGUAGGGAAUCGUCGGCAAUGGACGAAAGUCUGACCGAGCAACGCCGCGUGAAUGAAGAAGGUUUUCGGAUCGUAAAACUAUGUUGUUAGAGAAGCGGUAUCUAACCAGAAAGCCACGGCUAACUACGUGCCAGCAGCCGCGGUAAUUC